GACGUAGGGCGCGAGCGUUGUCCGGAUUUAUUGGGCGUAAAGAGCUCGUAGGCGGUCUGUCGCGUCGGAUGUGAAAAUCCAGGGCUCAACCCUGGACCUGCAUUCGAUACGGGCAGACUAGAGUUCGGCAGGGGAGACUGGAAUUCCUGGUGUAGCGGUGAAAUGCGCAGAUAUCAGGAGGAACACCGGUGGCGAAGGCGGGUCUCUGGGCCGAUACUGACGCUGAGGAGCGAAAGCGUGGGGAGCGAACAGG
rnacentral:rRNA from 1 species